rnacentral:rRNA from 1 species
AGCGGCGGACGGGUGAGUAACGCGUGGGUAACCUGCCUCAUACAGGGGGAUAACACAGGGAAACUUGUGCUAAUACCGCAUAACAUAACGAGGCGGCAUCGCUUUGUUAUCAAAGGAGCAAUCCGGUAUGAGAUGGGCCCGCGUCCGAUUAGCUAGUUGGUGAGGUAACGGCUCACCAAGGCGACGAUCGGUAGCCGAACUGAGAGGUUGAUCGGCCACAUUGGGACUGAGACACGGCCCAGACUCCUACGGGAGGCAGCAGUGGGGAAUAUUGCGCAAUGGGGGAAACCCUGACGCAGCAACGCCGCGUGAAGGAAGAAGGCCUUCGGGUUGUAAACUUCUUUGAUUGGGGACGAAGAAAGUGACUGUACCCAAAAAACAAGCCACGGCUAACUACGUGCCAGCAGCCGCGGUAAUACGUAGGUGGCAAGCGUUGUCCGGAAUUACUGGGUGUAAAGGGCGUGUAGGCGGGGCGCCAAGUCAGGUGUGAAAUUCCGGGGCUUAACUCCGGGUAUGCACCUGAAACUGGUACUCUUGAGUGUCGGAGAGGAAAGUGGAAUU